GAAGAAGACGCACAUUAAGUUGACAGAUGUACCGGCAGCCUACAAGUCAAAAAUGUGGAUAUGUUUCGGCAUUUUCCAGUACUGAUGAUGGAACAAAGCUGAACGGUACAAGAACGGUUUCACUAAAUUUACCGCCAGCUUGAACCAGAACCAGCUAAGACCACCGCAUCACACAUAGUAACAUACAACUUCCUAUCGUAUGUUACCAUGCGUGAUUGCAGGCUAAACUAGGUGAAAGGACAUCCGACCAGAAGUACCUCGGACUUGCUCCUGCACCCGUGUAGACGAGUCCCCACCGCCGUUCAUCAUGCAUUCAGGCAGGGCAAUAAAAGAGAUCAUUCAUUGGACAUGAAAGCUGAUGAUUAGUAAAGACAGCUAGAGUGGGGACAACAAAGGUGGAGGAAAUCCAAAGAAGAUAGAGCCUCAGAGGAAAAAAAGGCCGCUGUGGUAAGGUAGUUUAUCCUCUAUUACCCAGCCUGUGUUGUUAAAUGUUAAACAUACAUGACAUAACCAUUCACACCAAACCGUAUGGCAAAGUGUUUACAUUUCUAAAUAUUCUGAACAAUCAAAUAAUCUGCAUCUUUUUGUGCUUCGAUGUAAAUGAUACACUGCAGAGGGUUCUAACGUUCCCUGUUGUCACGAUCUCUUUCCUUCAUCACUUCUAUAGGUCACGGAGGUUGCCAAUAAGAACAUAUUUUCAGACAUCCGUGACACACUUGUUUUAAAACCUCUUCACCUGACAUUUCAAAAGGUUAUGCUCCACAAAGGGUAAGAUAAUUAUAUAAUCUUCAAGAUGAUCAUUCUCAAAAGUAUGAUGUUGUAUCAUAAUGUAUCAUGACACCGCUACUCCCCGUAUAUUUGAGGUCAUGUGGUCGAAAACGAUUUAUACGUACAUGGCUAAAUAUAAUAUAAUACAGUAAACCUCGGAUAUAUCGGAUUCAAUUGUUCCCACUGGUUUUGUCCGAUAUAAGCGAAAUCCGUUAUAUGCGUAUACCGGAAAAUGUCCGUUUUACGCAUAUAUCGGAUUUAUAUCCGGUAUAUGCGUAAAUCGGAUUUUAUCCGUUAUAAAAAGGCACUUCCUUGACUAUGUUUCCAAUGUACCUGGACGCGCAGGCAACGCUGCAAACGCUGCAAAUGACGUCGUACGUAUAGCGGCCUGUCACGAUUCGGCGAAUCAGAGCGCCACGAUGCGGCCAUCCGAUAUAUGCGAGGGAAAUUUAAUGGAAAUGCAUUGGAACGGGACUGGAGAUUUUGUCCGAAAUAGGCGAAAUCCGUUAUAAAAAAUCCGAUAUAUGCAAUGAAUUUUUAUUGGAAAUGCAUUACAGAAAAAUCGUUUCUUUUUUAUCUGUCCGUUGUGAGCGAAUUUCCGAUAUAUCCGAGUCCGAUAUAUCCGAGGUUUACUGUAUAAUAUAUCACUAGAAACAAAUAUGUCCCUGUCUCCAAAUAAACUCUGGAUUCUUGCUAAAUAUAGCUGUUGGUAUUUUCUUUCUUACCGAUAUCCGACAAAUUGUCCAAUACUUCAUUACUGACAUCAACCGCAGCAGCUCCUCCCUCAAAUUAAUGCCAGGUUACAUCUUGUGUAACGGAGGAACACAUGAUGCUUCUUUUACUUUGAUGCCAUUGCAUGCAAUUCACAAAUAAAAAACGAUAAUCUGCAGCAAAAAGAUGUAAUUUUCAUGCCAAUAUCAUCCACAUUAAAAUUAACCAAACAGCAGCAAUUAAGUUUUCACAUUGUUCUAUGUGUCCAUUAUGUAUUGGCUGGUGAUCGCUCCAGUGUGUACUAUGCCGCUCCCCCUCACUCAGCUGAUAUAGGCACCAUCUUGCAUGCAAGAUCUAGUUUUCUUAUGGCUGGCAUAUACGUACCUGUGUAUGAUUUAUGACUGAGUUUGGUGUGAGUGAUAGAAGGAAGGUGAGGGGAAACUAGUGCUUAGCUCUCUACAGAAUAACACACCCACACACUGAAUUAUGGUAAAUAACUGUAAAGUGCAAGUAGGUGUUUAGAAGAGUGACAGGAUUCAUUUUUCACCAUGUAUAUUCGCAUGUAUUCAUACAGUAUACACUCAGAGAAGUGAUGCAAUGGCACUGAAGAAAAUCUAAGCUUUUAGGGGAAAAAUUAUGAGUGGAAAGGAAGGUUUUAGUAAUUGUU